UACGGGGGGAGCAAGCGUUGUUCGGAUUUACUGGGCGUAAAGGGCGCGUAGGCGGCGCAACAAGUCACUUGUGAAAUCUCCGGGCUUAACCCGGAGCGGCCAAGUGAUACUGUCGUGCUAGAGUGCGGAAGGGGCUACUGGAAUUCUCGGUGUAGCGGUGAAAUGCGUAGAUAUCUGGAGGAACACCGGUGGCGAAGGCGGCAUCCUGGACCGGUAUUGACGCUGAGGCGCGAAAGCUAGGGGAGCAAACGGG
rnacentral:rRNA from 1 species